UACGUAGGGGGCAAGCGUUAUCCGGAAUCAUUGGGCGUAAAGCGCGUGUAGGCGGUUCUGUAAGUCCGCUCUGAAAGCCCAGGGCUCAACCCUGGGAGGCGGGUGGAUACUACAGGACUGGAGUACGGAAGAGGAGAUUGGAAUUCCUGGUGUAGCGGUGAAAUGCGCAGAUAUCAGGAGGAACACCAACAGCGAAGGCAGAUCUCUGGGACGUUACUGACGCUGAGACGCGAAAGCGUGGGGAGCAAACAGG
rnacentral:rRNA from 1 species